rnacentral:rRNA from 1 species
GAACGCGAAGAACCUUACCUACCCUUGACAUGCAGGAAGCCCGCAGAGAUGUGGGUGUGCCCGAAAGGGAACCUGGACACAGGUGCUGCAUGGCUGUCGUCAGCUCGUGUCGUGAGAUGUUGGGUUAAGUCCCGCAACGAGCGCAACCCUUGCCAUUAGUUGCUACAUUCAGUUGGGCACUCUAAUGGGACCGCCGGUGACAAACCGGAGGAAGGUGGGGAUGACGUCAAGUCCUCAUGGCCCUUAUGGGUAGGGCUUCACACGUAAUACAAUGGUCGGUACAGAGGGCUGCCAACCCGCAAGGGGGAGCUAAUCCCAGAAAGCCGAUCGUAGUCCGGAUUGUAGUCUGCAACUCGACUGCAUGAAGCCGGAAUCGCUAGUAAUCGCGGAUCAGCAUGUCGCGGUGAAUACGUUCCCGGGUCUUGUACACACC